rnacentral:rRNA from 1 species
UACAGAGGUCUCGAGCGUUAGGCGGAAUCACUGGGCUUAAAGCGUGUGUAGGCGGAUCGUUAAGUACCUUGUGAAAUCCCACGGCUUAACCGUGGAACUGCUUGGUAUACUGGCGGUCUUGAGCCAGCUAGGGGCUACCGGAACAAAUGGUGGAGCGGUGAAAUGCGUAGAUAUCAUUUGGAACGCCAAUGGUGAAAACAGGUAGCUGGGGCUGUGCUGACGCUGAGACACGAAAGCCAGAGGAGCAAACGGG